UUUUUUUUUUUUUUUUUUUUUUUUUUUUUUUCUCU
rnacentral:ribozyme from 1 species